GCUAAUGUGCUUAUAUUAUGGU
rnacentral:siRNA from 1 species